UUAUGCUAAUAACUUAGUUUUUUUUUUUUUUAAAUAAUACUGUAAUGUAGUGGGUACUCUUCUUAGUUCUUUACACCGUGUGUGGCUUUUGUUAAGUUUUUUCCCUUUGUUUCUUUUUUCUUCCUUUCUUUCCCCAACUGGCUAUGACUGUUACUACUAGUGUUUUGUAUUGCAGUUGUGCUCCAAAGCCUGGUGAUGGGGGUAUACAGGUUUUUUGGUGCCCUCUAGUGGGAGUUUUAUGGGUUAAUUUCAUUCAGCUCAAGGAGGCAAUCCCAGCUGGGAGUCAGUACAGCUGCGUUCACUUAGGUUUAGCACUAUAAAGAGUAGCAGACAGAGGAGAGAGAGUGGUUUGGAGUGACCAGAAGCCAGGGUGGGAAGCUACAGGGAAGGAAUGCAGCUGCAGAACGUCUGCCAAGUUUGUAUUGUUUUUGCUAAACCAGAGCCCAUGAAACAAAGCCCAAGCUCCUGAACAGGUUGUUUGUUUAAAGCUGAACCCCAUUCCUGCUCCAGCCUUGUCACAAACACAAUCAGAUUCAGGGCUCCACUUAGCAGGUGCUGUACACAGGAGCUGUAGAGCACCAUUUAAAGAUGGAGGGGGUAUAGAUUCUGCCCCUGCCCCUGAUCCUCCUCUUCCUCUUUCAGGUGCCCCCCAACACCUGCAGCUUGACUCCUCGGCCCACGAGACCCUACAUCCCCCACUCCAAGUUUGAGUGAGUGGUAUUGUUACCUGGUGUGUGGGGUUGCAGCACCACUCAGGUUUGACCCUGCCAAAAAAUAUCUGGGCCAUGGCCUGGAUACAAGCCCCACCCCCAACUCUGUUGCCUAUGCCUUUUCAAUUGCAUAGGAAAUGCUCUCAUUCUCCUUGCUCUGAAGAAUUCAUAAUCUGAGGCAUCUCAGUUGUUUAAAUUGUUCUCUUUUUCAGUGUGAUUCACUUUGUUUCUCUUUGUUCCUUUAACACUUGUGCUGCUGGAACUGAUUCCCCCCUCCUUAAAAAGUUUGUUUAUUUUAUUCUAGCAUGUGGAUGGACUGUAUGAAGGAGGAUCUUUAUCCCUUCCAUCUUGGAAGAUGGGAAGAAGAAUAAGACUGAGAAAGAAGAUAUCAGGAUUCUAUCGAUACCUCUGCCACAUACUCCCUGUGCAACCUUGUCUCAUUACCCUUCCUGUGUCUGCCCAAGAUAGGAAUCUGGAUGAAAAGGGACAUGGCUACAAGUUAACUUGUCUCCCACCAGCAAAUAAUAUACCCGAAUAACCAAUAAACUGAAUGGAGCAAAAUGGGAUUUAAAGUGAACACUCAUUCUUCCCUAAAAAUGGAACAAUGCCAGAUAUGAAGUCUCUGAGACCAAAAGCAGACAACCUCCCAUUAGCUUACAAGUCUCAGAAUUUGGGUUACACCAAUGGCAUAUUUUUUUGAAUAAUGCAUGUUGCAAGAAUGAAGCUUCAAAAAAAGCACUCUGUUCUGUUCUAGAGGCAGCUUCUUGCACAUGUACUGAGUCUGCAUUGGCUUCCUGCAGUCUCUCUUAUAAUUAGAACAACUGGUUGGAUUAGUUAAUUAUAUUAAACUUACUGGUUCACAAGUCUAGAACAUCAGCUCUGUGAAGGGUUUAAUUCUCUAGGGAUGGGACAGCACAAUACAAGGUUUGUAUGCAUGAUUAAUGUAACUUGAUUUUUCCCCCCCUCUUGUUGCCAAGUUACAAAAAAGUGUUAUCUCACUGGAUUGUCUACCUUUAAAUAGACUAAAUUCCCAGCCAAAAGGAGCCAUGCUGAUUAAAAAUUGAUCAUAUACUGAUGUCUCUUGGGGGAGGAGGGGGAAUUACAAAUAAGAUAAUUUUUAUUCUAGACAUUGGCUAGACAUGGUCAAAUAUAGCUCUUCAGUCCCCAGAGACCCUGACAUAUACCACUGUAGCAAGUGACUGAGUUUGUGUGAAAUAAAUAACUACUAAUUUAUAAUUAAACAGAAUGAGUAUUAAGUCUUUAAAAGCAGUAUCAUGGUGAUCUAUCAACCAAACUGUAUCUUGGAUUGUUUUCUUCUGUGGCCCCAUUGAAUUAAGAAAGGUGAAAUGGCUGUGAAAAUCCAUGGCAUUUAUUAAUUUAACUGCCUGUAAGCCCCCCAAGUGAUAAAGAAUUACCUUAAAAUAUAGUUUUGAUACACAUUUUACAAGAAAAUCUGACUCCAAUAGAAGGUAUGGUAUAAUCCCUGCUGACAUAUCAAACAUUUUUUGUUUUGCCUGUUCUUGAAGAUCGGUACAAAAGGACAUUUAAAUCACAAUUAAUUUUGAGAUUGCUUUGUACUAGUGUAAAUGUUUGUGGCAUGACAGUAGGUACAGAAAGGUCUAUUAACAUCUUUUCCCUAGUGGAGAAAGCAAGAGUUGAUUCCAAAAAUAUAUACACUGUCAAGAAUCCAUUGGUCUUACUGGCUACCCAAAUGCUGUAUGGUAUUCAGCAUUAAUUGCUGUUUUGUCAGCAUCUUAGACGUGACCAAUAUAGGACCCAUGGUCAUGUCUGUAUAGAGACUCUUUCAUAUUCACAAUUGCAGGGAAGUUCUCUUGUUUUAAAUGCUUUAAAAAAAAGAAAACUCAGAUAAAAGUCAAAUUCUAGCAGGUCUGACUAAACAGAAUAUAUGAGGCAAUGCUGUAUAGAACACCUUUUAAUGGGUGAUAAAUAAGGGUACAUCCAGUCACAAUUGCAAGAAGACAUUCCACAGAACAGGUAAGAGAAAUAGUGCAAAAGAACUGUCUUCAGUACAGUUAACCCAUAAGGGAUCCAAGGGUAAGCUUAUGGGAUUCUGCGUUGAUACCAGCUAGUCUGCUGUUCUGUUUAUGGUACGAAAGAAACAUAAUGCAGGAUUAAUUUAAUGGUGCCACCUUUUAGAAGUAACCCACUUGGUAAAUGGGGCAUUUGGCUUGCUGGGGAUGAGGCUACACAGGCUAGAUGAAAGCUUCAACUAGAGAGCAAAAAUUAAAAAGUAUGAGCAGCCAAGGAUGACUACUUAGAUCACUCUGCUUAAAAUUACAUGGCUCCUCAGAAAAUGGAAGAAGGGAAUUUCUCCAGGAAUUUAAGAAUCUAGGGGUAGGGGGGGAUUUUGUCCUAGCCAAAAACAAAUAAGUAAAACUCUCCUGCAUGCUGCAUUUUUUGGCUCAACAGCGAAGAAAUGUAUUGACAAAAUUUGUGUGUAUGCACGCACACACACACACAGUACAGUGCUCAGCAGACUUGUUCUGAUGGUUUUAGUACGUACUGGAGUUUUAAAAAUGACUAAAAAUUGAAUAUAAUCUAUUUGCAUUCAGAACACUUGCUGGGGAAAACGUGCCAGGGAGAUGCUUAGACUAUGGAAUUUCAACUAAUUAAAGUGAUGAAACAAAUGUUGUGUGGAUGAAUCUGCAAGUAGUCCAUGACAGAAUCCUGACACACUGUAUUCCCAGAAGUCGAGUACAAAAGCAUGCCUGAUCAUUUAGAAACAUUGAGAUGCUUCUCAUAUGCGCCGGGGCAGGUGGUGGUGUUCUCAUAAAAGUUGCAUUAAGGAGGAAAAUGCACUUGAAAUGCUGUAUUUUCACCGGCUUUCUAUUCAGUGGAUGCAGCUUAGAACGGCAUACUCAGGGUUAACACCAGGAAGGCACACUGGUGGCAUGUACUGCCAGGUGUUAAAACACCCACUGAAUUAGCACCAGUGCCAGUCUCUGUACAGAGCUUGGCACCUCUUCAAACUCAAUGAUAUAGCAUAAAAGAUGUGUUAAUCUCUUACCUU